UCUCCUUCUUAUCCAUUCACCCAGCUCCAUGACUCCAUCCAUUCAUCCCCGUCCGUUAGGCUUUAGCUGCUGCCCUACGACCUAAGCCUCUCGCGUAGGCGUAGCUGUCCGCCGACCGCCGCUCAGCCGCUCGCGCAGCCUCCCGCCACCUGCACUCGCUUGUACUCCCGCGCCGCCUGCUGCUGCCCCGCCCGCCUCCGCUCGGCCUCCCACGCAGCCUCCAAGCCAGCCCCACCCGCCGCUGCUCGGCCUCCCGUUGAUAGCCGCGCACACCGAGGCCGGUGCCGGGGCCGGGAGGGGCGGCCCCGCGAGCCGACACGGACGCUAGCGGGGAGGGGACAGGCAGUCGCUCGCGCCGAGGCGCCGCCGCCGGCGAGGAUGCAUGGGGCAGCGUGUGGCGUGGAGCGAAGGGAGUGGAGGCGCUACUCAUGGGCGGAGCUAGGGAAACUUACAUCCCUCAUGUGAUCUCAACGCUGCGGAGUACCGCUCGUGUCCUGCUAUGCGAGUCGCGUCCAGUCGGUGCUCGGUGCUCGACGGGACGGUGGCUCUCCGCUCGGAUGCUCCCCCACUCUGGUGAUCAGCAACCGGAGACCUGACGGCCUCGCGACCUCAUGUCCUCGCCCACAUGGGCCAUGGCUUGCGUCCUCUCCUGCUAGCGCGAGUUGCGAAGAAUAGAAGGUGCCUACCACCAGCCCACCGGGCACCGGCGGCCAAGACAACGACGUCCAAAGCCCUCCUCUGACCGGUGGCCCUCUCGGACCACUGUUCUAUAAUAUUGUUUAAUUAUUCAUGUUUAGAACUUAAAUUUUGGUUACUAUUAUGGAUUUGUUAUGAUCAUUAUAAUUUAUCGUCCAUUAUAUUGUGUA